GCACUUUUCCUACUAGCAAACAUGGACUGUUGUCUUAGCCUGUUGCUCCUGCCACCCGGUGUGCCUGAACCUGGAGAGAGAGGACACUUUGAAACCCAGACUGUGCUCUCGGUGGCAGGGCCUUGGUGCAUCCGGGCUCGCGGACUGCGAGGGCCAUGGGGAUUGCCAGCACCGCGCCUGGGGAGGUGAUGGCUGCCGACCACCGGUCCGGGGACCCUAGUGCAGGCCGCCCGGCUGCCAGCAGAUGGUGCCCUCCUCAUCCAAACACGCAGGGAAACCCAGCUAAAGUAACGCUCAGACUCCGCCCCAGCAGAUCCACGGCGCAACAGUCACUCGUCCUUCCCAAAAUAGUGACGAGCACGUUUCCCCUGGAACACCGCAGUAGCCCGUGUGUGUCGAAAUUACAAACCAGGGGCGACCGGGUGUGUGUGCCGGAGCGGGGAGCGCGUGCGGAGUGGGACCUCAGGGGCCAGGGGCGAGGUGACCGCCAAUGAAACGCAGAGGGCAAAGGGACCGGUCCAUUUCCCAUCUGCAAAAGGAGAACUAAGGAUGGGUUACAGGUUGAAAAAAGAUGAAGCGUUACCUCCGAAGUCCGGCCGCAAGCGAAUGUCAUAUCCUUUGAGCAAUCUGUCCACUGUCUCUUUCACGUAUGACAUGUUGCUGGGUUCAUUGGUGCUAAGGGGAAGAAGUAGGGACCGUAUUCAAAAUGAGCACAAACUGUGAGCACAUAUAAAAAGAUACAGGCACACCUACCCCCAAACAACAAGAUACAUGAUCCAGCAGACACGUAAAAAGAAACAUACCAAGAAAAAAAAAGAGAGAGAGAGAAAGAGAGAGAUUCAACAACAGCAGCUCACCUGUGUGCACAACAGACCAUGGUAAUCAUCACAGGGAAAGAGAGAAGCCCCAGACUCUCUCGAUUUUGUACUGUCCACAUUACUAACUCUGAUUAAAAGAAUUGUCUUUUCUGCGAAGAUUCAAGGAAUGCAACUUAGUCGGCUGCUGGGCAGUAAUUCCCGAAUGGACCUGCGCAUGCGCAGAGCGCGCUCACUACCAAAAGACACCUUGUGCCUUGCAAACAAUAUUCCUAGUGGAACAGGCAACAGAUUUCAAUCCCUCUAAAGUUCCUAUUUGGGGUGCUCCAUGUCCUCCGGGUAGUCAGAGACAAGCUGCUGUUUCCACGCAGGGGAUCCUACGAGCAUGUGUAAACGGAGUUUCCU
rnacentral:lncRNA from 1 species